UCCUCGGUAGUAUAGUGGUCAGUAUCCCCGCCUGUCACGCGGGAGACCGGGUUCGAUCCGCCGGGGAG